AAUUCUCACCAGGAUUUUAACCCGGAUUAAUGACUUGAAAAACCACCGUUGUAAUUCAACUAUAAGAAC
rnacentral:tRNA from 1 species